CUAAACCAGGUCUAAAGGAGAACUAAACCAGGUCUAAAGCAGGUCUAAACCAGGUCUAAACCAGGUCUAAACCAGGUCUAAACCAGGUCUAAACCAGGUCUAAACCAGGUCUAAAACCAGGUCUAAAACCAGGUCUAAAACCAGGUCUAAACUGAGCCUAAACCAGGUCUAAACCAGGUCUAAACCAGGUCUAAAACCAGGUCUAAACUGAGCCUAAACCAGGUCUAAACCAGGUCUAAACCAGGUCUAAAACCAGGUCUAAAACCAGGUCUAAAACCAGGUCUAAAACCAGGUCUAAAACCAGGUCUAAAACCAGGUCUAAACCGGGUCUAAACCGGGUCUAAACCGGGUCUAAACCGGGUCUAAACCAGGUCUAAACCGGGUCUAAACCGGGUCUAAACCGGGUCUAAACCGGGUC